rnacentral:lncRNA from 1 species
GUCAUAUUCUAAUUUUUGAAUUUUGAUCAUUUCCACUCAUUUCCAGAAACUGUAUAAGAUAUCGACAAAUUAUUUUUUCUAAAUUGUUUGUUGCGACAUGUCGUAACACGUAAAUUUUGAUUGCAAGGGUACGUUGAAUGUAAAAGGGAGUUUUCUCCCCUUUGGUAUUUAAAAAUACGCGUAUGGUGAUAUAACUCAUUAACUAAACAUAAUUAAGACCUAUGGCCUUUUGAUUUGAGGUUCUUGGUUAAUGACCUUGAAAUUGAUCUCAAGGUCAUAGUUUAAUUUGACGUUCUAGAUUUUGACCUUUGCUUUUACCUCAUGUGUAUACAUGAUAAAGCCAUGAGACUUUUGGCAAACGGUAUCAAACCAUUUAACCUUGAAAAAACAACCGGAAGUGACCUUGUGUAAACCGGAAGUAG